rnacentral:rRNA from 1 species
UACAGAGGUCCCAAGCGUUGUUCGGAUUCAUUGGGCGUAAGGGUGCGUAGGUGGCGUCGUAAGUCGGGUGUGAAAUCUCGGGGCUUAACUCCGAAACUGCAUUCGAUACUGCGGUGCUUGAGGACUGGAGAGGAGACUGGAAUUUACGGUGUAGCAGUGAAAUGCGUAGAUAUCGUAAGGAAGACCAGUGGCGAAGGCGGGUCUCGUGGACAGUUCCUGACGCUGAGGCACGAAGGCCAGGGGAGCAAACGGG